rnacentral:rRNA from 1 species
CCUAGAGGGGGACGGAACAGUUGGAAACGACUGCUAAUACCGCAUACGAUCUAAUCUCGGCAUCGAGGAUGGAUGAAAGGUGGCCUCUAUUUAUAAGCUAUCACUGAAGGAGGGGAGUUGCGUCUGAUUAGCUAGUUGGAGGGGUAACGGCCCACCAAGGCGAUGAUCAGUAGCCGGUCUGAGAGGAUGAACGGCCACAUUGGGACUGAGACACGGCCCAG